rnacentral:rRNA from 1 species
UCCAGAGGGGGCAAGCGUUAUUCGGAAUUAUUGGGCGUAAAGGGCGCGUAGGCGGCUUGGCAAGUGGAUGGUGAAAUCCCUCGGCUUAACCGAGGAACUGCCGUCCAAACUGCUUGGCUUGAGACCGGGAGAGGUGAGUGGAAUUCCCAGUGUAGCGGUGAAAUGCGUAGAUAUUGGGAGGAACACCAGUGGCGAAGGCGGCUCACUGGACCGGUACUGACGCUGAUGCGCGAAAGCGUGGGGAGCAAACGGG